CCAAACUAGGAGAAAGAUGUGAAGGAACAUGCUUGGGAUGGCAUAACUAAACAGGUGUGAUAAGCCUACAGAGCACAAGAAGACUAAUGAACAUUUCAGUAAUUACAGAAAUUUGAUAUUCAGAGUUUUGUAAGAGCACAUCAUUGCUUUCUGGAACUACGAGAUGAAUUCUCCAGCUUCCUUCAGUAUCUUCUUUGCUCCAGCCCCAGAUUUGUCCAAGAAGACUUGGUUCUUUUUUUGAAGCAAGGCAUUAAAAGGCAAAAACUGGGCCUUGAUAAGUGAAAA